rnacentral:tRNA from 1 species
AAUAAAGUGCCUGAUGAAUAGGAUCGUUUUGAUGAGACGAACAUGGCUAACACCCUUUAUUA